rnacentral:rRNA from 1 species
GUGCCAGCAGCCGCGGUAAUACAGAGGGUGCAAGCGUUAAUCGGAAUUACUGGGCGUAAAGCGAGCGUAGGUGGCUUGAUAAGUCAGAUGUGAAAGCCCCGGGCUUAACCUGGGAACGGCAUCUGAUACUGUUAGGCUAGAGUAGGUGAGAGGAAGGUAGAAUUCCAGGUGUAGCGGUGAAAUGCGUAGAGAUCUGGAGGAAUACCGAUGGCGAAGGCAGCCUUCUGGCAUCAUACUGACACUGAGGUUCGAAAGCGUGGGUAGCAAACAGGAUUAGAUACCCCCGUAGUCC